rnacentral:rRNA from 1 species
UACGUAGGGGGCGAGCGUUGUCCGGAGUUACUGGGCGUAAAGGGCAUGCAGGCGGUCGGACGCGUUUCGGGUGACAGCGGGUGGCUUAACUACCCGAGUGGUCGAAAGACGGUUUGACUUGAGGACGCGAGAGGGACACGGAAUUCCGGGUGGAGUGGUGAAUGCGUAGAGAUCCGGAGGAACACCGAAGGCGAAGGCAGUGUCCUGGCGCGUAACUGACGCUGAGGUGCGAAAGCCAGGGGAGCGAACGGG